UCAACUUGAGAGUUUGAUCCUGGCUCAGAACGAACGCUGGCGGCAGGCUUAACACAUGCAAGUCGAGCGCCCCGCAAGGGGAGCGGCAGACGGG
rnacentral:rRNA from 1 species